AACGAACGCUGGCGGCAGGCUUAACACAUGCAAGUCGCACGAGGAAAGGGAGCAAUCCCCGGUAAAGUGGCGCACGGGUGAGUAACACGUGGAUAAUCUUCCCUCGAGCGGGGGAUAACCUUCCGAAAGGAGGGCUAAUACCGCAUAAGACCACGGCCAGUACGCUGGCUGAGGUCAAAGCUGGCCUCUUCAUGAAAGCUAGCACUCGAGGAUGAGUCCGCGGCCCAUCAGGUAGUUGGCGGGGUAAUGGCCCACCAAGCCGAAGACGGGUAGCUGGUCUGAGAGGAUGAUCAGCCACACUGGAACUGAGACACGGUCCAGACUCCUACGGGAGGCAGCAGUGGGGAAUCUUGCGCAAUGGGCGAAAGCCUGACGCAGCGACGCCGCGUGGGUGAUGAAGGCCUCGGUUGUAAGCCCUGUGGGAGGGGACGGAAUAACACAUACCUAAUACGUAAUGUAGAUGACGGUACUCCUUAGCAAGCACCGGCUAACU
rnacentral:rRNA from 1 species